UAUAAAUAGGGCAAGGCACUUGGGGGCCAUUCCAUCUUCACUUCCAGCACUAGUUCACUGGUUGGCUCUAUCUAGCUACACACAAACCUAAGCAGCCUAACCGUGUGCCUCAUUUUCUUGCUCUCUCGCUCUCAUUCUCACCAUGAACACAUAGUUCUUGCGCCCUUGUUUUUGCUCUCUCGUGGCCAGCCGCCAUUGCUGCUGCUUGGUCUUGUUCAACCACAAAGAAUAACCCAGUUGCUAGGUAGUUAGAAGAUCAGAGGGGAAGCAAAAUUGAAGGGUAUGGAACAAUCCUUGAAGCUCAGGAGGGAUAGCGCCUAGGAAAUCACUAGAUUGGAGCCAUGAGGAGAAAGAGAUCGAGAGACGUGUGAAUCGAUCUGCUCGGUCUCUUCCUCUGAAGGUUCUGUCUAUCAAUCUGAAGCGCUAUCUAUCCUGAGCUCCACGGCUUGUUCUUACCACACACACGCCGCCGGCCGGCCGAGCGAUCAUCGAUCGAUCGGGUUCUUCCCCAGCUCGCUCGCUCGCUCUCUCGAGAAGUUAAAUCCGUCUCUUCACGCCUCCUGUACAUUGUUGCGAUGUAGGUGAGAGGUCGCAGUCUCAUCAUGCAGCUUGACGCCAUUGCUGCAGGCCGAGAUAUCUCCUCUUAUGCUGGCUCCAUGAUUAUUUUACCAUAUCCGUGCGAGCGGUGAGGCGUGUUCAUGCGUGCACUCUCGCAAGUCGCAAAGUUAUGGGCACCCCCCGGUUUACUUGCUACCGUACAAAAGGAACACUGUUUUUUCGCACUGCUUGGAAGCAGAGAAGAAGCAAAAACAGCAGCUUUGCAUUAUUUGUGGCAAAGCAGGUCUCCGGAGACGAAAGCCUCGCGCCUUUUCCUUGAUGACUGCCAUUUCAGGGCAUGUAGGUAGGGGGCCGGAUCUUCUACGCCGCCGGACUCCACGGCCCAACGGCCCAUGCAAUGACACGACACCUCCCUGCUCCUCGUCGAAAAAAAAGAAAAAAGUCAAAGGAAGCGUGUGAUAAAAAUGAAAUGAAAUUAUGAAAGCCGUCAGGUCACUGGGGCCACAUUGGUGUUGUAGUGUGUACCGGGCUACCGGCAUGUAGCCUGAUCCCCAUUGUUCUUCCCGUGAAAGUUUUGAAUACAAUUUUCUUAUGAGGCUCAUCGUA